UAGGCACGAAGCGGCCUUCUAAUUGAAUGGCAACGGCUUCGACUUUGAAAUCGUCUUCGUUCUCAGUUUUUCCAUCUGAAACAAUUUUCCUUUAUAAAGAUACGUGAUCAAGGAGUCCAUGUUUGCUUAUCAUAUAUACGUAUGUUCUUAACAAACGUGCUUUUUAUUACAAGAAAAAUGGCUUCUAAGAAAUUUGUGUGUUCUUGGAAUGUUUUCUUGAUUGUCAUGCUCCUCCUGGUCUCUGCAAUGGGAUCAAGGGAUCUGCCAAAGACCACCGUGCCUCGUAUGACUCGCGAAAAGGCUUAGCAUCCCAGGAUACUUCAGGGAUGGAAGAGUCCUAGAGGAGGAGUUCCUAGGGAUGGCCAUUACUAGGCUUCCCUUCCUAGGGUUCAAUUAAUUAUACGUUAAGAGAGAAAUAAAUGGCUGAAGCUAAUAUCUUUUUUUUUUUAAUAAAAAUGUAGCAAAAUAUGUCUCUCCUACCAGCUAAGAUUUAUUAACUUGUUAUGAUUUUAUGGUUAAUCUUAACAUCAACGUACAGAUCAGACCAUGGUAUAAAACCAGUUCUUAAUGA